GUUUUUACAUUAAGACUUGAAUAUUCUUCUUUUUAAUAUCUUGUGCUAAUACUUCUAUAAUAACAUUGAACAAAAUAGGAGAUGUUGGGUGCCCCUAUUUAUCUGAAAAUAAUCCAUAUCCAAUCCAUUGAUGGUAAUUACUGUUUGUGCAUGUGAAUAUAGCUGGUUAAUUAUAGAAAUAUCAAAAUCCCAUUUCCAAACAAUUUUAAGUAAUUUACAUUUGUUUCUGUCAAGCACUGAAAACAUCUGAAGACAGCAGAAUGAAUAGAAAUUUGGUAUAUUUAGCCUAGCAUAUUGCAUUUAAUAGUCUUCUAAUUGACUCUACUACUGUCUAUUUCUUUCAGGAAGAAACUCAGAUUGAUCAGGACAUAUAAUUACUUGCAAACAUAUUUAAAGUUGUAACAAAUAAUGCAGUUACUUUUUAAAUCUUGAUUUAACAAUGCAGAUUAGACCUGUAUAAUGAUGUCUGACUAAAGUCUUUAUUUGAUUCUGGAAUAAUCAGAAAUCAGAGCACCAAGCAUAUGGCCAUUUCUGAUAUUGCUCCUCUACUUGCAGCGAUGCCUGUCAGCUUCCACCAGAGAGCAGAGCAGCUCUAUUACCCAAGUCUUUUACACUCUGGAAAUCAGUGGAGACAGCAACACAGCCAGAUCCUGGCCAAACAACAUGGAUUGCAGUUCAUUUCAAAGUUUGCAGUGAUGGGAACCCGUCCUGUCUGAGACCUCACCAAGGCACUUAGAAAGGAACGCCCACACCAUGUCAUCCAGGACACUGUCAGAAGGGUAUACAUGGGUGUCAUAAGCCUACAUA